AUGACCACGCACCUCGCUCCUCCAUUAACUGACAUAUGGGCCCUCUUGAGUUUGAAUUGUUGCAGCAGACGCAAAUGCGCCGGCCUUCAUGAUUCCAGGACCUGGAAUCAUACCAGCCGAUGGUACCAUAUAACUGGAAUUAACCAAUGCAACUCCAAUAAGGAUUGGCCGGUGUUGCCGGCUGGCGUCAAGUUCGGUCCCACGGAUCAGGAGCUGAUCGAGCACCUUGAGGCCAAAGUGAGUGCCGACAGCGCGAGAUCUCACCCUCUCAUCGAUUUGUUCAUACCAACCAUCGACAGCAAGCACGGCAUAUGCUACACCCAUCCUGAGAAACUUCCAGGUAUCACACUGAGUGGCCUAAGCAAGCAUUUCUUCCAGCGCAAUUCCAAGGCAUUCAAAAGGGGCACGUGGACGCGUCGCAAGUCGGAGUGCGGCAUGCACGCGAUGUGGCACAAGACCGGCAAUACCUUGCCGGUGAUGGUCAAUGGCCGGCAAACGGGCAGCAAAAAGCAGAGGACCAACUGGGUGAUGCACCAGUACCACCUCUGGGACCUGGAGCAAGAGAAGGAGCGGGAGCUGGUCUUCUGCAAGAUUUUCUACCAGGCGAACACUAGGGCCAGGAGUAAAAAGAUUAUAAGUUAG
rnacentral:rRNA from 1 species